GCUACCAUCCGGAACACCCUUUCGCAGACCUCCCCCCAACAAAAACCCCUGUACCCGAACCACUGUACUGCCAACUGGUCCCGAUGAAAGCCCAGCUGGUGGCCCUGAGCUCGAGCUGCAGCCCUCCUUUCGGCCCAGAAGACAAAUGAAUGGCCCACGAUCCAUGCGACACGGCCUGGGGGAGAGAAGGAAAACAGAUCAUAACAGCCCC